rnacentral:rRNA from 1 species
GUCCAGACUCCUACGGGAGGCAGCAGUGGGGAAUUUUGGACAAUGGGGGCAACCCUGAUCCAGCAAUGCCGCGUGAGUGAAGAAGGCCUUCGGGUUGUAAAGCUCUUUUGUCAGGGAAGAAACGGUGAAGGCUAAUAUCCUUUGCUAAUGACGGUACCUGAAGAAUAAGCACCGGCUAACUACGUGCCAGCAGCCGCGGUAAUACGUAGGGUGCAAGCGUUAAUCGGAAUUACUGGGCGUAAAGCGUGCGCAGGCGGUUUUGUAAGA